rnacentral:rRNA from 1 species
GACGAACGCUGGCGGCGUGCCUAAUACAUGCAAGUCGAGCGAAUGACGAGGAGCUUGCUCCUUUGAUUUAGCGGCGGACGGGUGAGUAACACGUGGGUAACCUACCCUAUAGACUGGGAUAACUUCGGGAAACCGGAGCUAAUACCGGAUAAUACUUUGAAACACAUGUUUUGAAGUUGAAAGAUGGUUUCGGCUAUCACUAUAGGAUGGACCCGCGGCGCAUUAGCUAGUUGGUGAGGUAACGGCUCACCAAGGCAACGAUGCGUAGCCGACCUGAGAGGGUGAUCGGCCACACUGGGACUGAGACACGGCCCAGACUCCUACGGGAGGCAG